GAAAUGCGAUAAGUAAUGUGAAUUGCAGAAUUCCGUGAAUCAUCGAAUCUUUGAACGCACAUUGCGCCCUCCAGUAUUCUGGCGGGCAUGCCUGUUCGAGCGUCAUUUCAACCCUCAAGCCCCCGGGCUUGGUGUUGGGGCUCGGCCCGUCCCUCGUGGCGCGCCGUCCCCGAAAUCUAGUGGCGGUCACGCUGUACUCCUCUGCGUAGUAAUCUAACCUCGCAACGGGACAAAGCCUGGCCACGCCGUUAAACCCCCCACUUCUGAAGGUUGACCUCGGAUCAGGUAGGAAUACCCGCUGAACUUAA
rnacentral:misc_RNA from 1 species